rnacentral:misc_RNA from 1 species
GAUGAAGAACGUAGCGAAAUGCGAUAAGUAAUGUGAAUUGCAGAAUUCAGUGAAUCAUCGAAUCUUUGAACGCACAUUGCGCCCGUCAGUAUUCUGGCGGGCAUGCCUGUUCGAGCGUCAUUACGCCCCCCAAGUCCCCUGUGGACUUGGUGUUGGGGAUCGGCGAGGCUGGUUUUCCAGCACAGCCGUCCCUUAAAUUAAUUGGCGGUCUCGCCGUGGCCCUCCUCUGCGCAGUAGUAAAACACUCGCAACAGGAGCCCGGCGCGGUCCACUGCCGUAAAACCCCCCAACUUUUUAUAGUUGACCUCGAAUCAGGUAGGACUACCCGCUGAACUUAAGCAUAUCAAUAAGCGGAGGA